GACGAACGCUGGCGGCGUGCUUAACACAUGCAAGUCGAACGGAAAGGCCCUGCUUUUGUGGGGUGCUCGAGUGGCGAACGGGUGAGUAACACGUGAGUAACCUGCCCUUGACUUUGGGAUAACUUCAGGAAACUGGGGCUAAUACCGGAUAGGAGCUCCUGCUGCAUGGUGGGGGUUGGAAAGUUUCGGCGGUUGGGGAUGGACUCGCGGCUUAUCAGCUUGUUGGUGAGGUAGUGGCUUACCAAGGCUUUGACGGGUAGCCGGCCUGAGAGGGUGACCGGCCACAAUGGGACUGAGAUACGGACCAGACUCCUACGGGAGGCAGCAGUGGGGAAUAUUGCACAGUGGGCGGAAGCCUGAUGCAGCGACGCCGCGUGCGGGAUGCCGGCCUUCGGGGUGUAAACCGCUUUCGCCUGUGACGAAGCGUGAGUGACGGUAAUGGGUAAAGAAGCACCGGCUAACUACGUG
rnacentral:rRNA from 1 species